ensembl:lncRNA
ACAUCCCACAGAUCCCAGCAUGCCGUGCGGCUUCCUUUUUCUUGACCCUGAGUCUCAGGUUUUCUAGCUGAGGCUUAUUCACUCGUGUGCGCAAGCGGUUACCUUGGUUAACCUAUUUCCCAGAGCCAGGCUCCACGCUCACUCUUCCUCUGGCUGAUUCACCACGAAAAGGACAGAUAGCUCGGCUUUCUGCUAAGCGUUAUUUGUCUUCUCCAAACCUGUGGUAAACUUGCCGAUCGCGGACUGUGAGCCGAGCUACCCAAAAACGAGUUUAAUAAACGUUGUGGGUACCUACACGGUGCCACGCGCGUUCUAGAACGUCGAGGAUACAGUGAUGACUGACACACCAUCCCUGCUUUGGAGGAGCACACAGUGAGGCGAGAGGCAUCUUAACCACUGAGAUAACGUGGUCGGUGCUAUCGAAGGUAUAAACAGUGUUACAGGCACACAGGCGAGGGGGUUUCUCCGACAGAUUGGUGUCAGGGAAGGCAUCUAAGAGGCAACAUUUGAGUUGGACUUUGGUGAAAACUGCGCCAGGUUGGAGUGGAGGGGAAGAGUGUUCUAAGUAGCAAGAACUUCAAAAGCAGAUGCGAAAGUACUUGCCCUGUACGCGCUAGGUAAACUUGGGAUAUAUGACUGGAGAUGAGUCUAGAAAGAAGAACCUGGCCUGGUUAGUCCUGCAGAGGGGUUUCCGCUUUCACACGCCCACCACCACCACCCCUAACAAUAGAAAGGAACCUGAGGACUCCUGGAUGGAUCUAAGGCUCUAAGAUUGAAAGAAGGUUAAAAACCACUGGUCCAGUGAAGAACGGUUAGGAGGCUGCUGUAAACUGCAAGGAAUACUUGAGAGUUUGGGCUAGGGAAUUCAGAGAACUGAG